rnacentral:rRNA from 1 species
UGGGGAAUAUUGGGCAAUGGGCGAAAGCCUGACCCAGCAACGCCGCGUGAGGGAAGAAGGGUUUCGGCUCGUAAACCUCUGUCCUAUGGGACGAAGGAAGUGACGGUACCAUAGGAGGAAGCCCCGGCUAACUACGUGCCAGCAGCCGCGGUAAUACGUAGGGGGCGAGCGUUGUCCGGAAUGAUUGGGGCGUAAAGGGGCGCGUAGGCGGCCUGUUAAGUCUGGAGUGAAAGUCCUGCUUUCAAGGUGGGAAUUGCUUUGGAUACUGAUGGGCUGGAGUGCAGGAGAGGAAAGCGGAAUUACCGGUGUAGCGGUGAAAUGCGUAGAGAUCGGUAGGAACACCAGUGGCGAAGGCGGCUUUCUGGACUGAAACUGACGCUGAGGCGCGAAAGCGUGGGGAGCAAACAGGAUUAGAUACCC